GAUGAACGCUGGCGGCGUGCCUAAUACAUGCAAGUCGAGCGAACAGACGCUGAGUUUGCUCCUCGCACGUUUGCGGCGCACGUGUGAGUAACACGUGUAUAACCUACCUAUAAUUCUGGUAUAACUUCGGGAAACGGGCUCUUAUCCCGUAGAAUAUAUUGAACCGCAUGGUUCAAUGGUGAGAGUCGGUGUUGCUGUCACGACUAGAUGGAUCCGCGCGGCAUUAGCUGGUUGGUCAGGUAACGGCUUACGAAGGCGACGAUGCGUAGCCGACCUGAGAGGGUGAUAGCCCACAUGGGAACUGGGACACGGUCAAGACUCCUGAGGGAGGCAGCAGUAGGGAACCGUACGCAAUGGGGGAAAGCAUGACGGAGUAACGCGACGCGAGUGAUGACGGUCUUGGGAGCGUAAAACUCUGUUAUUAGGGAAGAACAAAUGUGGAAGGAACUAUGGACGUAUUGACGGUAACUAAUCAGAAAGCAACGGCUAACUACGUG
rnacentral:rRNA from 1 species